GAUGAACGCUGGCGGCGUGCUUAACACAUGCAAGUCGAGCGAAGCGCUAAAGCGGAUUUCUUCGGAUUGAAGUUUUAGUGACUGAGCGGCGGACGGGUGAGUAACGCGUGGGUAACCUGCCUCAUACAGGGGGAUAACAGUUGGAAACGGCUGCUAAUACCGCAUAAGCGCACAGUACCGCAUGGUACGGUGUGAAAAACUCCGGUGGUAUGAGAUGGACCCGCGUCUGAUUAGGUAGUUGGUGGGGUAACGGCCUACCAAGCCGACGAUCAGUAGCCGACCUGAGAGGGUGACCGGCCACAUUGGGACUGAGACACGGCCCAAACUCCUACGGGAGGCAGCAGUGGGGAAUAUUGCACAAUGGGGGAAACCCUGAUGCAGCGACGCCGCGUGAGCGAAGAAGUAUUUCGGUAU
rnacentral:rRNA from 1 species